GCUUGCUUUUUCUAGGCGUCGACCGGCGCACGGGUGACGUAACGCGUAUCCAACCUGCCAUCACUUGGGGAUAACCUUGCGAAAGUAAGACUAAUACCCAAUGACGUCUCUAGAAGACAUCUGAAAGAGAUUUAAAGAUUUAUCGGUGAUGGAUGGGGAUGCGUCUGAUUAGCUUGUUGGCGGGGUAACGCCCACCAAGGCGACGAUCAGUAGGGGUUCUGAGAGGAAGGUCCCCCACAUUGGAACUGAGACACGGUCCAAACUCCUACGGGAGGCAGCAGUGAGGAAUAUUGGUCAAUGGACGAGAGUCUGAACCAGCCAAGUAGCGUGCAGGAUGACGGCCCUAUGGGUUGUAAACUGCUUUUAUAAGGGAAUAAAGUGAGUCUCGUGAGACUUUUUGCAUGUACCUUAUGAAUAAGGACCGGCUAAUUCCGUG
rnacentral:rRNA from 1 species